AGAGUUUGAUCCUGGCUCAGGAUGAACGCUGGCGGCGUGCUUAACACAUGCAAGUCGAACGAACCUUCGGGUUAGUGGCGGACGGGUGAGUAACGCGUGAGAAUCUGCCCUCAGGAGGGGGAUAACGGUUGGAAACGACCGCUAAUACCCCAUAUGCCUACUGGUGAAACGAAUUUCGCCUGAGGAUGAGCUCGCGUCUGAUUAGCUAGUUGGUGAGGUAAUGGCUCACCAAGGCUUCGAUCAGUAGCUGGCCUGAGAGGAUGAUCAGCCACACUGGGACUGAGACACGGCCCAGACUCCUACGGGAGGCAGCAGUGGGGAAUUUUCCGCAAUGGGCGAAAGCCUGACGGAGCAACGCCGCGUGAGGGACGAAGGCCUCUGGGCUGUAAACCUCUUUUCUCAAGGAAGAAGAUAUGACGGUACUUGAGGAAUAAGCCACGGCUAAUUCCGUGCCAGCAGCCGCGGUAAUACGGGAGUGGCAAGCGUUAUCCGGAAUUAUUGGGCGUAAAGCGUCCGCAGGCGGCUUUUCAAGUCUGCUGUUAAAAAGUGGAGCUUAACUCCAUCAUGGCAGUGGAAACUGAAAGGCUUGAGUAUGGUAGGGGCAGAGGGAAUUCCCGGUGUAGCGGUGAAAUGCGUAGAUAUCGGGAAGAACACCAGUGGCGAAGGCGCUCUGCUGGGCCAUUACUGACGCUCAUGGACGAAAGCCAGGGGAGCGAAAGGGAUUAGAUACCCCCUGUAGUCCUGGCCGUAAACGAUGAAACACUAGGUGUCGGGGGGGAAUCGACCCCCUUCGGUGUCGUAGCUAACGCGUUUAAGUGUUUCCGCCCUGGGGGAGUACGCACGCAAGUGUGAAACUCAAAGGAAAUUGACCGGGGGGGCCCGGCACAAGGCGGGUGGGAGUAUGGUGGGUUUAACUUCGAUGCAACCGCCGUAGAAUCCUUUACCAGGCCUUGGACAUUCCUUGGCCGAAUCCUCUUAGAAAUUUUGAUGGGAUUGGC
rnacentral:rRNA from 1 species